UACAGAGGUCCCAAGCGUUGUUCGGAUUCACUGGGCGUAAAGGGUGCGUAGGCGGUCGGGUAAGUCUGAUGUGAAAUCUCACAGCUUAACUGUGAAACUGCAUUGGAUACUAUCCGGCUCGAGGAAUGGAGGGGAGACUGGAAUACUUGGUGUAGCAGUGAAAUGCGUAGAUAUCAAGUGGAACACCAGUGGCGAAGGCGAGUCUCUGGGCCAUUACUGACGCUGAGGAGCGAAAGCGUGGGGAGCGAACAGG
rnacentral:rRNA from 1 species